CGUCCUGGCAACAACAGGGAACACAGCGAGGCCUCGGCGCAGUCUAGAUUAUUGGGAAAAACUAUAUUCAAGUUUCAGUGUUGUGUUAACGCUGGGCGCGAUUAGGUCGCACAUCGCGGGGCUCACAUACACUGUGAAUCUGGAACAGGCAAACAUGACCACAUGAGCUGUAUUCAUAUUUACACUACCGAUGGCACAUGUGUUGAUCAAGUCGUAAAACUCAACAAUAACAUCUCAGGCUAUUUCUACGUAAAUACAUGCCACCACGCAAAAAUGAAAACACACUCACUAUAACACACGCUCACCUAUUCACCAACUCACUCAAAGCACUCACAUAGUCAGUCAGUCAGUCGGCCAGCCAUUCAGUCCGUCAGUGAAUCAAUCAAACAGUGAGUCAGUGAAUCAGUUAGUCACCCAGCCAGCCAGCCAACCAACCAACCAGCCAGUCAGUCAGUCAGCCAGCCAGCCAGCCAGCCAGCCAGCCAGCCAGCCAGCCAGCCAGCCAGCCAGUCAGUCAGCCAGCCAGCCAGUCAGUCAGUCAGCCAGCCAGCCAGCCAGCCAGCCAGCCAGUCAGAAUGAGGAUGGAGCUAACGCUGACACUGGUUCUCGGCGCCCUUAUGACGGCCAUUGGCUCGGCGAACUGCGCCAACCAAAAACAAUUUCUUGAUGAACUGCUGAACAGCUAUGACAUCAACGAAUCACCUCACCUCAGCAAAGGCCG